rnacentral:lncRNA from 1 species
AAUCAUAGAACAUGUAAUUCACAUAUUUAACAUGGUAUUCAAUUCAAAACGGACAACAAAAUUUCGAUACCCUAAUGAAUCAGAAAAAAAAUAAUUUAAACAGAUACUUUCGAGAAUUAUCAAACUGAAAUGAAAUAUUGAAUUUUAUUCCUCAUCUUCUGAAAAUCACAAAUAAAAUAAGAAAAUAAUUUUGGAAAAUCCGGGUCGUCACAAUCUACCCCCCUUAAAAAGAUUCCGUCCUCGGAAUCGGCGAGAAGCAAACUAAAGCGUACGAUCUCUAUAAU